rnacentral:snoRNA from 1 species
CAGCCUGAAAUGAUGACUCUUAAAUUUCAUGUCUCUUUGUUAUUGUUGUUAUUGUAGUUUUUGGCCGGGGCCG